CUCAAACUCAUGCAGCAUCGAAGCUCGGUACUAGCCCGGGGCAAGCCAACCUCAUGGCUCUCCUGAGGCCAACCGAACCUUCCAGUCACCAGAGCUCCCCAAGCCUCACCAGUCACGCCAGUCCCCCAAGUAUCAGUUCUCUGGGGACCGCGCAGCCACAGCUCUACCUCCCAAGUCGGCUGCCACCUGGCGGUGAAGGUGGGGACUCCGCUCCAGCCCCUGUGGGACUGCGGCAUCCCGGGCUCCCAGUCCAAGUGAGACUAUUUUUUCUCUCACGCGGUCUUUGUCAAGCGCCGGUUCUGGGGCAGAGCGGAGUAAGGACAGCCCGUCUCUGGUGACACCACCUGCGUCGUCUCCGUCUCUGCAGCAGCCGCUACAGCUCUCGCCCGUUGUGGCCCCUCACAGCACCAUGUAUGAAGCUUAGUUGAACAGAUUGAGCUCGCUCCUGUGUCUGCCCAUGUUUGAGACCUGGCCUCAUCACCAGCAAAGUAAAUGGACAGGAGAAACUGAACUCUGGCUAUUCCUCUUCUUAAUGUUCAGCUGCUGUUACUUCACUGUGGACGAGCCUCAGAAGCUAGUGCCUGGAGAGUCUUGGAAAUGACCUCCCAAAGUCCUAGAUCUUAAGGUUUCUGUCCAUUCCCAUGGAGACUCACAGAGGCUCAUUAUAGACUUUGAAACCUACCAGCAGAUCUCUAAGAAAGAAAGAUAUGGUGAAUCCAGCCUGAAUCAGGGCUCAUCUCUGGCCCAAUCAGUGAUGACUAGAGAUGAAGCUGCUUCCACGUGUAAGCUGCCUUGUGGAGAGAUUCACAUGUAAAAAAAGAAAAAAAACAGAUGGAGACCUCUGGCCAUCAACUGGCAAGGAACUGAAGUCCUUAGUCCAUCAACUCUUGAGGAACUGGUUCCUGCCAAAAACAGGUGAGUGAGCUUUGGAGAGGAUCCUUCCUUCCUAGAGACUGGAGAUAACUACAGCCUCAGCAGGUACCUUCAUUGCCUCAUUAUAAGAGACCCUGAGCCAGAGGACCAGCUA